rnacentral:rRNA from 1 species
UACGGAGGGGGCAAGCGUUAUCCGGAUUUACUGGGUGUAAAGGGAGCGUAGACGGAAUAGCAAGUCUGAUGUGAAAACCCGGGGCUCAACUCCGGGAGUGCAUUGGAAACUGUUGAUCUAGAGUGUCGGAGAGGCAAGCGGAAUUCCUGGUGUAGCGGUGAAAUGCAUAGAUAUCACGCAGAACUCCGAUUGCGAAGGCAGCAUGCCGGCUCCACACUGACGCUGAGGCACGAAAGCGUGGGUAUCGAACAGG